AUGGCCAAACAAGUGUACGAGUGCAACUGGGUUCCCUCCCGUGUCACAGAAUCACAACUGAAUGAUCUAGUCCUGAUCGGCGCUUUGGAUAACAAAGAUACGAUUCACUGGAGGGUUCCUGGAGAUGAAUGUCCUCCUACGCCCCAGGAAGGAGAGGUCGUGGUCUUCGCAGAUCACAUGGCCCGGGGCUUCAAACCGCCCGGCUCCAAAUUUUAUCGGGAUGUGUUAGCCAACUUUCAACUCCGUCCACAGGAUAUUGGCCCCAACUCCGUCACCAAUCUAUGUCACUUUCAAGUACUUUCUGAGGCAUACCUUCAAGAGGAGCCUUCAGUCGAGUUAUUUAGAGAUCUCUUUCAUCUAAACCGCCGUACUGAAUUCACUGACGGCCCUAAUACCGAACUUGGCGGUAUGGCCAUUCAGAAAAGGAAAGAAAUCACCUAUCCCCACGUCAAACUCCAUACUCACCCCAAGGAAUGGAACGCAACUUGGUUUUAUUGCAAGGAUACCUCUCCUGACAAUGAAAAUCCCUUGCCUGGCUUCCAUCCGGAACGGCUCAGCAACACUCACCCUUUUCCACAAAGGCUAAGCGCCAAGGAGAGAAUUAAAUACGCUCCUCAACUAUCCAAGCUCCGGGCCUUCAUGGCCAAUGGUUUAACAGGAAUAGACCUUGCACGCUGCUGGAUAUCAUGGAGCAUUUUGCCUCUAAGCCGGCGCCCAAAUUUGAUGUGCGAGUAUGAUAGUGUCGAUGACCCACUCCGACACACUAAAAUCCAGCUCCCUGAUGACGAAGUCACAGAAUCUGUGAAAAAGAUGCUGAAUGAACCGGAGCACCUCUGUGCUCAAACCGGUCUGCCUCCUUACUGCACCACCAACAAACCGCCAGCGGGUGAUAAUCCAUUUUGGAGCAAGAAACUUCCUAAGACAAAACGGAAAAGGCAGGACGGCCAACCCGGCCCAAGACCAAGGUUAUCAAGAAGCCAGCUCAUAAGAGAAAAACCACCGCUUCAUCUGACCCAGCCAUUGACGAUGAUGUGGGUAAUCCGGAUCUUGAGGAUGACGCUGAAGCCAGCAAUGCGGGUUUUGUUGAGACCCAGCAACACGAAGCUCGCCACACAACCCGGCACAGUGGCCAGGUAG
rnacentral:rRNA from 1 species